AAUCAACGCUGGCGGCGUGCCUCAGACAUGCAAGUCGAACGCGAAAGUUCCCUUCGGGGAGCGAGUAGAGUGGCGCACGGGUGAGUAACACGUAGGUAAUCUACCUUUGGAUGGGGAAUAACAACCGGAAACGGUUGCUAAUACCGCAUAAUGCAGCGGCACCUAAUGGUGACAGUUGUUAAAGCGGGGGAUCGCAAGACCUCGCGUCUGAAGAGGAGCCUGCGGCGGAUUAGCUAGUUGGUAAGGUAACGGCUUACCAAGGCGAUGAUCCGUAGCCGGCCUGAGAGGGCGGUCGGCCACACUGACACUGACAUACGGGUCAGACUCCUACGGGAGGCAGCAGUCGGGAAUUUUGGGCAAUGGGCGAAAGCCUGACCCAGCAACGCCGCGUGAAGGAUGAAAUCCCUCGGGAUGUAAACUUCGCAAGAACAGGAAGAAUAAGUUUGUGCUAACACCACAAGUGAUGACGGUACUGUUUGUAAGCUCCGGCUAACUCCGUGCCAGC
rnacentral:rRNA from 1 species